GACGAACGCUGGCGGCGUGCUUAACACAUGCAAGUCGAACGGAAAGGCCCUGCUUUUGUGGGGUGCUCGAGUGGCGAACGGGUGAGUAACACGUGAGUAACCUGCCCUUGACUUUGGGAUAACUUCAGGAAACUGGGGCUAAUACCGGAUAGGAGCUCCUGCUGCAUGGUGGGGGUUGGAAAGUUUCGGCGGUUGGGGAGGGACUCGCGGCUUAUCAGCUUGUUGGUGGGGUAGUGGCUUACCAAGGCUUUGACGGGUAGCCGGCCUGAGAGGGCGACCGGCCACAGUGGGACGGAGACACGGCGCGGAGGACGCGGGGCGGCAGCAGGGGGGAAGAGUGCACAAGGGGCGCAAGCAUGAUGCAGCGACGCCGCGUGAGGGAGGACGGCCGUCGGGUUGGAAACCUCGUGCAGCGGGGAAGAAGCGAAAGGGACGGUAACUGCAGAAGAAGCGACGGCGAGCUACGUG
rnacentral:rRNA from 1 species